rnacentral:sRNA from 12 species
GCUUUCAACAUCCCCGUUCCGGACCAAGCGUGAGCCUAUUGCGGAAUAGCCGCAAUCGCAUUCGCAUCCGGAGCUGAAGGC